rfam:Ovis aries breed Texel chromosome 18, whole genome shotgun sequence.
UCCCUGGUGGUCCAGUGGCUAAUACUCUGUGCUCCCAAUGCAGGGACACAGGUUCCAUCCCUGGUCAGGGAA